AUUGGCAGUGAUGAUUGAUAAACACAGCUUUAAUGCCAGUUCUGCUUCAGAAAAUUCUUGAUCGAUAGAGCUGAAUUUCACUGAGCCUCAU
rnacentral:snoRNA from 1 species